rnacentral:lncRNA from 1 species
GAUUAGUGAAAAAAUCAUCUACAGAGGCGGAGUGUGUGAAUAAGAAUUAAUAUGAUAUUAAAGUGCAAAAAAAGUCUCAAUCUUGGACGCCUAGUAAGACCCAAGUCUCCAUAUUGGAGAAAUGAACAACAAAAGGGUCAAAGGCUUUUUGAUGGGUGGGUGAUUAAAGCAAAAUAUACAUUAACUAGAGUGGGACAGGAG